ensembl:snRNA U6 U6 spliceosomal RNA
GGGCUCGCUUCGGCAGCACAUAUACUAAAAUUGGAACGAUACAGAGAUUACCAUGGCCCUGCGCAAGGAUGACACGCAGAUUCGGGAAGCGUUCCCUUAUUUU